GACAGAGGCCUCAAGCGUUUAGGCGGAAUCACUGGGCUUAAAGCGUGUGUAGGCGGAUCGUUAAGUGUCUUGUGAAAUCCCACGGCUCACCCGUGGAACUGCUUGGUAUACUGCUUAUCUUGGGCCAGCUAGGGGCUACCGGAACAAGUGGUGGAGCGGUGAAAUGCGUAGAUAUCACUUGGAACGCCAAUGGUGAAAACAGGUAGCUGGGGCUGUGCCGACGCUGAGACACGAAAGCCCAGGGGAGCGAACGGG
rnacentral:rRNA from 1 species